ensembl:lncRNA novel transcript, antisense to HKDC1
AAAUGUGAGCACAGCCCUUGCGGUGGUAUGAGAGGUGGCCUCGACGGUGGAGCCCAUCCUGGGAUGCCAUCACUGGGAAGAGAGAGCUGGUGCUCCCAGCCUGGGGAAACUCGGAUAAAGGUGACAGGAGGCUCCAUCCCAGGCACAUUCCCGGUGAAAGGGCAUUUUAUCCAGGGUGAAGAACACGUGCUACUGUCUACAGAGUGCGUCCACGUACGUCACCUCUUCUCAUCGCCACAGCAUCCCUUUGAGGCAGCCACGUAAGGCCAAAGUUCUUGUCCCCAGAGCCAUGAAAAAUACACACUGAAAACCUCCCAGUUCUCCUGUGGAUGAACAAUCUGCAGAUUUUUAGAAAUUGUUCCAGGGUCUCAGUAGUAACCCUUGCAGGCACCGCUGGCCCAGGAUCUGGACAAUUCUAGAGGCAGGAAGCACAGAGACGAAGAAGGGGACUCACUGCCUGACCGCAGAGAAACGAGCUGUGCCUUUUGACCAGAUGGAGAAACCAAGGCACAGAGCCCAACUGGGACGCAGUGAAAUCGAGAUUUGAACGCAGGCAGUCUAGCUGCAGAGUUCUUGCUUGCCCGCUGUGCUACACUGGCUAGGCUGGAAACAAGGCACGGGGAGACUUGGGGCCUCAGCUGGAAAAAUGGCCCUAAGCUCUUUCUAACACAGUGGAAAGUGCACAGGCCCUGGGGUCCUACUUUGGCUUUUCUUAAACUGCAGGUAAAGGUCCAAGUCUAUAUUCAUAUCUGUAAAAGCUUCAUAGCUAUGUCAGUGGUCACAGUGAGAAAGAAAGCAAAUUAUCACACAAGGAAAGGCAUGUGGUCUACAGUGGGCACACUAGAAGCAUCUCCUGAAGCUCAGCCUUUCCCUGGCUGGGGACCCCUCUUCGCUCACCCAACUUGGUCUCUUGGGAUAAGAAAAUGUGUGCAGACCUUUCAGUCCACUCAGUAAGGCAUGAUCCUAAACCAUUAGAAAGUACCUGUUCCAUGUACUGGAAUUAAAGGAACAGUUGGGAAUUUUAUGGAAAUUCUAUUCCUGUUACUAAAGAAAACAGCUCUUGAAUUCUGCCCUGUAUUCUUUUUAAUGGUAAGUCCAAAGUUAAGUCGUCAUAACAUAAAUCAGUGUGACCUGCUGGUAUUCCACUUGCUGCAAAAGAAUCAGAAACUGUGUGGGAGAGCAAACUUCCAUAAUAAGAAAACCAAUGUAGAGACUUCCAAACGCUGCCAGUGGUUACAGUCACAAUGGUGUCUCUAUCGGAGCAGCCACAAAUGAAGCAGAAAUGCUAACCUCAGCAAGUUUCAAAAGAAUGCUGCUAAUCAUUUUUACAGGUUUAUUCUGAACCGAAGACAAGGAAUGCUCAGGAAGAAAUUCUGACAUGAUUUCUAAAUCACAACUGUACAUUAAGGGUCAUAUUUGCAAAACACCUAUCAAGGAAAGAAAAGCCAUACAAGAAAAUGCAGUUCAUGUGACUUUUAACAUUUUUCAGAAUAAUUACAAUCUCAAUUGCACAAAAUAACCAACUUUUCAAAGCAAAUGAGACUUCUGGUUAAACACGGCAUUAACCUACAAGGACAAAAAGAAAGGAAACAGUGACUGAUAAGAGAUCUUAACAUAAUUCUGGAAGACAGGAAGCUCACGGAAGUAAUUGCUUAGUAGAGCAAACACUGAAACCUGAGUGCCCGCAGAGGGUGACUCGGGUGAGAAAGGAGCUGUGACGUUUGUAAAACUCUAAAAUGCUCAGGAAUCAGAGGUCUGGGGCAAGACAUAGAGCCAAAAACAAGAGAUUGGUUAAAAAGCUAUAUAAAAAAGCUUGGCCAGGCACGGUGGCUCACCCCUGUAAUCCCAGCAUUUUGGGAGGCCAAGGCAGGUGGAUCAUUUGAGGUCAGGAGUUCGAGACCAGCCUGGCCCAGGUGGUACCCCCAUCCCUACU